GUGGGGAAUCUUCCGCAAUGGACGAAAGUCUGACGGAGCAACGCCGCGUGAGUGAAGAAGGUUUUCGGAUCGUAAAGCUCUUUCGUUAGGGACGAACGUGCUCUUUGUGAAUAAUGAGGAGUAAUGACGGUACCUAAAUAAGAAGCCACGGCUAACUACGUGCCAGCAGCCGCGGUAAUACGUAGGUGGCAAGCGUUGUCCGGAAUUAUUGGGCGUAAAGCGCGCGCAGGCGGGAUAUCAAGUCUGUCUUAAAAGUGCGAGGCUCAACCUCGUGAGGGGACAGAAACUGGUAUUCUUGAGUUUCGGAGAGGAAAGUCGAAUUCCAAGUGUAGCGGUGAAAGGCGUAGAGAUUUGGAAGAACACCAGUGGCGAAGGCGACUGUCUGGACGAUGUCUGACGCUGAGGCGCGAAAGCUAGGGGAGCGAACGGGAUUAGAUACCCGUGUAGUCC
rnacentral:rRNA from 1 species